rnacentral:lncRNA from 1 species
UACGCCUCAUCAAUGUCCCAAUCUAUACUAACUACCUUGUUUAUAGUUUAACUUCAUAGAAUAUGCUAGUGGCUUUAUGUUCUAAAUUCAAACUUAGUUGAGCAAUUGGAGGAAACCAGCAUACCAGUGUGAGAUUAGAAGAUGUUCAAGUCAUACAGUAGGAUCAACUCAAAUAUAGAUUCUCUAGUUGUGAGUAACGAUGAAAAGCCACUUGCCAUGCUUUCAUGACAACCAUACAAAUUAUCAUGAUGUGAGUUUUUUCCAUGUGAAGGGGUGAGAUGCAAAAAAUAUUGCGUACAAUCCUUGAUGACAUGCAAAGAUGAGCAGGGCAUUGCUCGCCAUCAGGUCAAUUAGAUCAUAUUUCCGCUCCAUAAAAGCAUGUCAUGUGCAUUUCGAAUUGGUGAGUGCUUUAUGCAAUGUAACAAUAAAGGUGAGGAGGUUCAACUGCUUCGGUUGCUAGGAGUCUAUAGACCCAUCUACUUGGACAUCAUGGCUGGUGACGCUAAUUGAUACAUGUGCACACAUUUUGUGGACCUUAUAAGAUCAAACGGGAUUGUCCACUGCCAAAGCACCCAAAUACAUGUCUAUGAGUUACUGUUGGUUGUUUUUGCACAAUAAUGAGGGAGGCAGCCCAAUAAUUAUCUAAAAAUAUUAUAGAUCCAAUGGUUAUUAUUGCUUAGAGUCUACCGAAUUGAUGGUAAGAUGUUUGUGAGAAUCUCUAGGAUUUAUCUUUCUUUUUUUAUUGCGUGUCUCAUGAAGAUAAACUUGUUGCGACUCCCGUUAGAAUACCUAGGAUCUAUCUUCUGUUCUAGCGACAUAUGUAUUUAGUGGAAACCUAGUAUAAUUUCUUGUUGUAUCUUUUUUUAUGAUAUCAUGAAUGUAUAUAUAGCUUUCAAAUGCAAAUCUUAUCGGUUAUUGCAAUUUUUUAUCCACUUUUUAAAUUUAAUUGAAACUCUAGUGGUUAUUGUAUCUUUUAUUUGAAUAUUUUGCUUUCAUAUGAAAAGUACCACGAUAAAAAGCUUUCGCCGAAUCAUAUCACCACGAGGCCAUGACCUCAUCUAUGGCUAGACUUGUUUAGAUCUGAAUUUUUUUUAGAUUUUGACACUGCAGCACUUUCGUUUGUAUUUAGCAAUUAUUAUUCAACCAUAGACUAACUGGAUCAAAAGAUUCAUCUCGCAAAUUACAGGUGAACUGUGCAAUUAGUUAUUUUUUAUCUAUAUUUAAUGAUCCAUGCAUGUGCCGUAAAAUUUGACGUGAUAGAAAAUCUUAAAAAGUUUUUGGAUUUCAGGUGUUGUUGUAAAAUUUUUUGCAAAAUGGACACUAGCAUUGUCGUUUGUAUUUAAUAAAUAUUGUAACUAACUAGGCUCAAAAGAUCGUCUCGCAAAUUACAGAUAAACUGUAUAAUGAGUUAUUUUUUAUCUGUAUUUAAUGCUCCAUACAUGUGCCGCAAGAUUCAAUGUGAUGAGAAAUCUGGAAAAAUUUUGCAAAAAAUGGAAAGUAAGGCCUUGCAGAGGUAAAAAGUUUUUGGGUAAUGUAGCACUUUAGUUUUUAUUUGACAAAUAUUGUCCACUCAUAGACUAACUAUGCUUAAAAAUUUCGUCUCGCAAAUUACAGACAAACUGUAUAAUUAGUUAUUAUUUUUAUCUAUAUUUAAUAUUUCAUAUAUGUGCCGCAAAAUUCGAUGUGACGGAAAAUCUUGAAAACAUUUUAGGUUUUUGGGUGAACUAAACAAGGCCCUAAGCAAAGUAUCUCUAGAUGUUGCAGUUGCGGUCCACCGCAUGGCCGAGUACAGCAGCAAUCGUACAUGUACCUCAUCAACACCCCACCAUCGCCGCCAACCUAGGACUACCUCCACACCGCGUCGCCUCUGCAGCCAGAUCCACCGUUUCAGCCGUAACAGCGCCGGAGAAGGCUGUAGCUGGUAGCCUUAGAUGCUCCGCUCACCGCAAUUUGUUUGAUAUGAAAAUUAAGAAAUGGACAAAAGAUACGGUGAUUUCAAGUUGACUCGGACUAUAUUUUGAUCCUUUUUAAUUUAACACUGUUUCCAUUUUUGCUUG